GGGGGGCCUGUUCCCAACAGUGACAGAGUGGGAGAAUGUGAUUAGUGAGUAGUUCUUUCCACCAACUUGAAGAGUCCCAUCAAUGUCCUGCUCUGAGGGAUGGAGGAAGGUGGGAAGAGUCUGUGAAAAAAGAACAGCAGGAAUUCAGGGUGAAGAAGAUGUGGACUGUGUCUCCAUGGAGAAGAUGAUUACAGAAUGAGUACUUAUUCC
rnacentral:lncRNA from 1 species